GACGAACGCUGGCGGCGUGCCUAAUACAUGCAAGUAGAACGCUGAAGAGAGGAGCUUGCUCUUCUUGGAUGAGUUGCGAACGGGUGAGUAACGCGUAGGUAACCUGCCUUGUAGCGGGGGAUAACUAUUGGAAACGAUAGCUAAUACCGCAUAACAAUGGAUGAAACAUGUCAUUUAUUUGAAAGGGGCAAUUGCUCCACUACAAGAUGGACCUGCGUUGUAUUAGCUAGUAGGUGAGGUAAUGGCUCACCUAGGCGACGAUACAUAGCCGACCUGAGAGGGUAAUCGGCCACACUGGGACUGAGACACGGCCCAGACUCCUACGGGAGGCAGCAGUAGGGAAUCUUCGGCAAUGGGGGCAACCCUGACCGAGCAACGCCGCGUGAGUGAAGAAGGUUUUCGGAUCGUAAAGCUCUGUUGUAAGUCAAGAACGGGUGUGAGAGUGGAAAGUUCACACUGUGACGGUAGCUUACCAGAAAGGGACGGCUAACUACGUG
rnacentral:rRNA from 1 species